CAACGUGAGCAACCUGCCUUUCAGAGGGGGAUAACAGUUGGAAACGACUGCUAAUACCGCAUAACGCUGCGAUGGGGCAUCCCGAUGCAGCCAAAGGAGCAAUCCGCUGGAAGAUGGGCUCGCGGCCGAUUAGCUAGUUGGUGGGGCAACGGCCCACCAAGGCGACGAUCGGUAGCCGGACUGAGAGGUUGAUCGGCCACAUUGGGACUGAGACACGGCCCAGACUCCUACGGGAGGCAGCAG
rnacentral:rRNA from 1 species